CCAAGCAGUGAGGAAGUUGAGCAGGCAAAUCCACUCAACAUUAAUUCCAGGCGGUUAUGGGGAGGGAAAUUUAGUACCGAAGUUCCUGAUUUCACACUGCCAAGAAAAGCCUCUAGUGAGGAAAUAGGUGCCCGUACCGCAAACCGACACAGGUAGGCACGGUGAGUAACCGAAGAUGAUCGGGAGAACUCUCGUUAAGGAACUCGGCAAAAUGACCCCGUAACUUCGGGAGAAGGGGUGCUUCUUUUAAGGAGAAGCCGCAGUGAAAAGGCCCAAGCGACUGUUUAGCAAAAACACAGGUCUCUGCAAAGCCGUAAGGCGAAGUAUAGGGGCUGACACCUGCCCGGUGCUGGAAGGUUAAGGGGAAUGGUUAGGGACUUCGUCCCGAAGCUGUGAACCGAAGCCCCAGUAAACGGCGGCCGUAACUAUAACGGUCCUAAGGUAGCGAAAUUCCUUGUCGGGUAAGUUCCGACCCGCACGAAAGGUGCAACGACUUGGGCACUGUCUCAA
rnacentral:rRNA from 1 species